rnacentral:lncRNA from 1 species
AGUGGGAAGAGAGAAGUAGCUAAGGAAGGGGUACUGAUAUGAAAUGGAUUUCUGGAAAAUGUUUUCCUGAGUAUUUGCAGGAAUACUUCUGGGUCAUUAAAAGGGUGAUCUAUUUUAGGCACUUCCGCGGAAAGAGGGGUAUAAAAGGAGGUGCAGAUGAAAACAGUAAGUUGGUGGAAGCAGACUGCGCAGGAGGCUCCCUUUAUCCGACUCAACAGGAUGAGAAGGGAAAUUCUGGGGCCGCUGCCUGCCACUCAGCAGGGAAGCAAAAGCCUGCUCUGUAUUUAACCCGAGGGGAUGAGGAAAUCCUAACAGUCCCUCUUCUCUCAGGGGUGCGAGGGGCCUCCGCCCUUCAGGAGUCUCGUGAGGAUGCCAACGUGGACUCGUGUCUGCACGUGUGCGUGUUUUCAUUUGCGCGUCCAGCGCGAAAGCGACGUCCCACAGGUGGAAAGGAGUGUGGGGAGGAGCAGGGGUAUGGGGGAAAGGGGCGCGGCCGCUCGGGUAGUGGGGGUGGGUGAGUAGGUGGAAACACGUUCACACACUGACUAGCACCCCGCGGCCAGCAUCGGGUGUCGGUGCCUUCAGGAAAAGAGAGCCGGUAACCUGGCGCCACCUCCCUGAACUUCUCCCCCUGCCGUUGGGAUCCGGUAAGGUGGAAAGGAAGGGCGACCUAGAGGAAGGGCGAUAGAGGGCAGAGAUGGACCUAAGACACCAGAGAGCGAGGCGGGCAAGCAGGGG